rnacentral:lncRNA from 1 species
AUGGACAGGUUCUUCUGUCAGUUCGUUGCAAGGACAGCAACAGUCACCAUGCUCAGGAGGCUCUUCGCCGUGCAAAAUUCAAGUUCCCUGGUCGCCAAAAGAUCAUUGUCAGCAGGAAGUGGAAUGCAAUUUCUUUCAUUUGUUUUAUUAACCGUGAUAUCUCUCGGUUUUCUAUUAUUUUUUAUGUUAGCAUCAUUGUUAUGCAUGAGGUAGCGUGCGUUUUCUUUGUUCUCAGAGGCACACCUGAUGCCUUGAUUUCUUAUUUCUUUGCUGCUUUACCAUACUGGAAAAAUGAAAGCCUGCAACUUAUGGCAAGUCGUUUUCUAUUUCUAUUAGAGAAUAAUAUAAAUCAAAUGGUUUUGGUUAAUCAAACCGAUGAUUAUGUGUUCCAUGCAGCUUCUUGGAUUCCAUGGACGUACCCUUGGCCAACCGUCAACCUGGAAGAGCAUCCUUGCCAGCUACUGCUUAGAUCUUUUGAUCAUUCCUGGAAAUAACUUAUUCGUUCAUCUCUUAGCCUCUGAGGGAUCUAUCGAUUACUCUUUUUCAUUCCUGGAAAUUGUUGGUUGUGGUUGCCUUUCCAUGAAGGGUAAAGAGCCUCAAGUAUCAUUUAUGUGGAUUUUUGGUUGCACGUACUGCGUGAAAAUUAAGGUUGGAUUCCUCUUGUGCCGAUGCCACUGCCUUCGUUAAUUUAUUAGUGUUUGGCGUUGUGGUAGCUCUCGCAAGGGAGGUGUAAGAAAAGCUAUAAAUUGUACCAUGAAAAGCAAUUAACUUUUGAAGUUGUGGUCAGUUAAUUUAAGCAUCACUGUGCUUAAAGGAGCCUAAAGCUCAACGCCUGGAACAAGAGUGAUGUUAGAACCUUCAUGUUUCUUACUUACGACGAGGCACCCUUCCUUCCACUACCAACUAACAGGAGGGUAACUUCAUAUAUAUAUAUAUAUAUACACAGCUAGAGUUGAUUUGUUUUUCAUGGAGGUGGCAUGCGCGGGUCAUAAAUACAGGACAUGCAUGUGGCUGAUGAUAAGAAAGGAUCUCAUCAUUUAUUGAGGGAGGCUCAGAUAUCUGGGAAAAACAAGGACAUGCACGUCUAACUCUAUCAGCAUCGCAAAAAAUAAAAGCAGCGGGUAAAAUGAAUCUUUCAACAAUUAUUAUCAAUGGGCUCGGAAGUCGAAUUGAGAGAAGUACUAGUUUUGAUAUUACAAGUAAAUGUUGCUAUUGGACAUCUAUUUCCCUCGUUAAUUAAUUAAUUUUGAAGUGUUUAAAUGAAAUUAGUUUUGCUAUAUAUCAAGGUCUAAAUCUCUAUAUAUACUAUACAAAAAAAGAGAGGGUAAAAUUCACAUUAAGUUAAACACAUAUGAUUAUUUUAAAAUUAAAGUUGAUUGACGGGACGAAGGCAAUUAAUUUUUAAUAGGUCAAAUUUAGCUUGUUUAAAAACCAAAAAAUACAAGAAUUUGUUAAAAUUAAAAAAAUCAGAAGUUGCUAUGAGUCUUGAGGUAAGAGAUGAAGAUAAAUAUCUUCCAUCUCUAAAUUCCAUUCUUACCUUUCUUAUUUCGUAGGGUUUGAAUAUGGAUUUUUAAAUAGAAAUCAGGAGAUUGUUAACUUUGGUAAUUAACAUCCCGGUAAAUUUCAUUUAUACUGAUGAAAAAUGUCCAUAAUUUUUGGGCCCAAUGCGCUGAGGAAGAAGUGACAACAUGCAGGAAAGUUGCCUCUUUUCAAAAAAUUAUUACUUUUUUUUUUUAUCUAAGUUGUUUGAGAUUAUAAUAAUAAUGAUAGUUUAAAAUAUUUUUUAUUUAGAUAUAUAUUAAAAUAAUAUUUUUUUAUUUAAAAAAAAUUAUUUUUGACAUUAACACAUCAAAAUGAUCUGAAAACAUAAAAAAAAUUAUUUUUAAUAAACAUAAAAUUUAAAAUUUUUGGGAACACGAUCUCAAACAAAGUCUAAAAAACAAACACUUCUAUGAAUUUGAUUUAGGAAAUGUUUGAUAUUGUGAAUCAAGGUUGUUAAAAUCGCGAUUUUAACACAACACAGAAAAUACAAAAUAAACUCGAAUUGUAAAAACGGAUCGUAAAAUCAUAAAAUCGUAAGGAAUUUUAAAAUACAUUAAAAAAAAUUCAUGCUUCAAAUAAAAAAUUCAUAUAUAGUUCAAGUACCUUAAAAUACAUGCUUCAAAUAAAAAUUCAUAUAUAGUUCAAGCAUCUUAAAAUAUAUGAUUCAAAUAAAAAUUCAUACAUAAUUUAAAUAAUUUUUAAUUAACAAAUUUAAAACAAAUAAUCUGCUGGUGUGUUAUGUAAACUGAAACCAAAUUCAUCGCGAUUUCUUUAUUUUGUAUGAACCUAUAUAAACAAUUCAAAUUUAUAAGAUUUUUAUCAAAUAUUUUAACAUUUAAAAUAAAUAAAUAUAUAUAUAUAUUAAAAUUUUAUUUUUUAUAUCAACACAUUAAAAAAUCUAAAAAUAUCAAAAUUAAAUUAAUUUUAAAAAAGUUAUUUUUUAAAAAAAACAACAAGUAAACCGCUAAAACAAAUAUAAAAGCAAUGUUACAUUCCAAAGAAGUAGAGUAAAUUGCAAUAAACAACUCUCUUUUACACUCAAUUUGAUCUAACUAAACUGCAGCUUCAAAUUAUCUAGAGUUGAUACUUGACAGAGAUUCAACAAGUUAGAAGAUGUAAGUUGCCCAACAUGCUAGAACAAGGUAGAAAAGACAUGAAAAAUGACAGGAGCCGUCUAGCUUACGCAAAAAUUAAUUUAAAAUGACAAGGAAACAAUAACAAUGUACAUGUUGUUUCUCAUGCUACACGUACACUGCACUGCACUGCACCAAAUGCUAAUAGUCAAUCGACACUGCCAAUAGUUAGUCGACACCUGUAAUAGCAAUUGUAAUUUAUUUCCUGUGGCUAAAAUCGUUAAAUCGGUGGUAAAAACACCAUUUAAUCUGAUUUUAUUCAUUUUCAAGUUUUAUAAACGAUUUAGCACGUAAAGUCUACAUUGAUUCAUAAAAUUGUACGAUUUUACGAGUUAAAUCGCGAUUUUAACAACCUUUGUGAUUGUAAUUGUUUUUCAAAAUAUUUUUUUACUUAAAAAUAUAUUAAAAUAAUAUUUUUUAUUUUUAAAAAUAUAUUUUUAACAUCGAAUAUUCAAAUAAUCUAAAAACAUAAAAAAUAUAUAUAUACAUUUUAAAAAAAAUCACUACUCUUAAUAUCAAUCAAAAUCAAGCACGUCAUUCUUGGCUUCAGGAGUGCGUUCCUUUAUACCGUAACGAAUAAUUUUUUUAUAAAUUUUCUAAUCUAAAAUGAUGCCCUAUCUUUAAUUGAAUUACAAAUAGAAACUUAAUUUUAACGUAUAAAAGCUUAAUCGAGAGUGAUAUCUAACUAUAAAAUAAAAUAAAAAUAAAGAAGUGUAUUUACCUUUUUUCGAGAGUAAUAUAAACCAUUCUAAGAUUUUAUUCAACAAUUUAAAAUUUAAAAUUAAAUCAAUUUUUUGAUAUAAAUAAAGAAUUUUAUUGACUAAAUAAUUAUGAGUUUACCAUCUUCAUUCUCUCUAAACUCUGUAUUUGACAGUUAUAUAUUUCUUCAAAAUCUCCUAUAUCAGUAUGUUUAUCAUUCCAGUUGUGCUCUUCGUCAGUAAACAUGAAUGUAAGGUAUUUAACUUAAUGCAUGUAGAACUCACAUGCUUGGACACUAAAUUUCUCAUAUAACUGGGAAAGAAAACCAGAAUGUUAAACGCGUGCGUGCAGCAGCAAGGUCUUUGGAAGAGUACUAGAAAAACCAUAAUGUUUAUCCAUGUUCAAUAAAAUUAAACAUGUUUUUAUCAGUAACACAUACUUAACCGGCUCUAAGAACAAUAUAACUGUACUUCGGAAUUCUGAAAAUGGGAAUGCAUGACCUGGAAAACCAAUUGUAAUCUCAUCGAAACGCCACCGCCCUGGAAAACACCAUAGAUCCAAAGUAUAUCAGAUGAUGCUCAAUAUCUGUUUCUAAUAAAAGAAACCUGUACAGAAAUGCUUGACAACCAGCCAUAUCUCAAAAACUUGAUAAGAAAUGUGUGAAAACGAACAACUGUGUAUAUAUAUAGAUAUAUAUACCUUGAGAGAAAACCAUCUGUUUCUUGUCUUGUCUUUCAUCCGAAUGCUUUCUUCUCGGAUGUUUAAUACGAUCGAUAAUGCUAGGAUACUGCAUAUCACGUAAAUUAAAAGGCGUCAAAGGAUUCCUUUCCUCUCUUCUUCUAGAAUAAUAUAUAUAUAUAUAUAUAUAUAUAUAUUAUUCCUGAAUAAAAAAGGAGAAUAUCCUAGAAAUAAAAUAAAAAAUGCAAUAUAGAGGGCAGUGUUAACUCAUGUUUCUCUUAGCAAAAUAAAAAGAUUAGGAGACCGACCAGAAAAGAGGAGAAGAAGGGGCCGGGCAGGUCAGGUCCAACACGCAAGCUAUAAACUAAGGAAACCGACAAGGUAUGAAUGGUGGGCUGAGCUUGCAGCCCAUAUUGACGCAAGCACACACGUACGUCCCAAAACCAAACCGUGUUAGGGUUUUACUUUUCUUGUUCUCUCUCUCCUCUCUAUAAAUAUAAAGCCUCUCCUUUUCUACCUCUCAUUUUCUUUCUCUAGGGUUUCUGCGCCGAUCUACUGCACACAAAGUCGCCAUGGGUAGAAGUAAGCUUCUUUCUCUCUUCCAAGUACAAACCACAAUGAAUUUCAGUUCCCAACUCGCAUAACAAUGAUUGUUUUCUUUUCUUUCCUUUAAUUGGAAAUGUGUCUGCUCUCUAAUCCAUCCAUCCAUGUAAAUCUUAAUAUUUGUUGUAUCAGAAAUAUGAUAUGAAUGAUCUCGUGCCUUUGUUUGAGUUUUCAUGCUUCUUUAAAUUUUAUUCAUAGGGUUUUUGUUAUAGGUUGUCUAUAUUUUUUUUUUACUUUUUUUGUGGGUUUAGAAUAAUUGUUAGCUUUUUUAUUGGAUUAUCCAUAGCUUUAAGCUUUUUCAAUCUAUAUUCAUUGUAAAUGAUUUUUCUUUUUAUCUUCAAAUCCUUAUAUUUGAAGAUGGCUAUGGUUAAGAUUGUGAAACAAUUGGAAAAGGGUUUAUAUUUCUGAUGUCUAAGGGAUGUUUUGAUGGAUGGAUGAGUCCGUUUUGGUUUUUAGAUGUUAACCUAGAUCUUAAUUUUGAUACUCCUCAUUGGGAACUUUUUGUUUACCAUAUUCUUAUCUUAAAAAGAUCAUUUCUGCUAUUAGUACAUUUGCUAUUGUGUUUAAAAAGGUCGGUUUAUUAAAUGCUAUAUAUUUUUUAAAUGAAGUUGGGUUCGUGUGUUGAAGACUUCCUUUAGUUUUUGUUUGUCCUUGUUAAAUAUGGUAGCUGGUAUGACCUUCUAAUGUACCCACAAAAGCUAUCUUUAGUAUUUAGAAAAUGUGAUUUGCAUCUGAAUUUUGAGUGAUUGAAUUUAUAAAACAAGUGUUUUCUUCCAUUAAGCUGUUUCUUACUCUUCUUUACUUUCCUAUUUUUAGGACCUGCAAGAUGUUACCGUCAGAUCAAAAAUAAGCCAUACCCAAAAUCACGUUACUGCCGUGGUGUGCCUGACUCUAAGAUCAGGAUUUAUGAUGUUGGCAUGAAGAGGAAGGGAGUUGAUGAGUUCCCAUUCUGUGUGCACUUGGUGUCCUGGGAGAAGGAGAAUGUCUCCAGUGAGGCCCUUGAGGCAGCACGUAUUGCUUGCAACAAAUACAUGGCCAAGUUUGCUGGAAAGGAUGCUUUCCAUUUGAGAGUCAGGGUUCAUCCAUUCCAUGUGUUGCGUAUCAACAAGAUGCUUUCAUGUGCUGGAGCUGAUAGGCUCCAAACUGGCAUGAGGGGUGCUUUCGGUAAACCACAGGGAACUUGUGCUCGAGUUGCAAUUGGACAGGUUCUUCUGUCAGUUCGUUGCAAGGACAGCAACAGUCACCAUGCUCAGGAGGCUCUUCGCCGUGCAAAAUUCAAGUUCCCUGGUCGCCAAAAGAUUAUUGUCAGCAGGAAGUGGUAUGCAAUUUCUUUCAUUUGUUUUACUAACCGUCAGUAUGUAUCUGUUUUCUAUUAUUUUUUCUGUUACAAUCAUUGUUAUGCAUGGAGUAGUGUACAUUUUCUCUGUUCUCAGAGGCGCACCUGGUGCCCUGAUUUUUUAUUAUUGGUGCUGCUCUACCGUACUUGUGACAAGGCAGUUUUUUCUCAUUGUUUUGGAAGUUGUUUAUUUUUUGUUUAGUUAGUGAGGAUGCAUUUACAAUUAGUAGCCUAACCUUGUCUGAUAACUG